AGAAAUGGUUAGGAUUGCUGAGCUAGAAGAAAAGAUAAGGGCUUUCCUAGAGGAGUCACGGGGGCUGAAGGAGGAAGCGAAGAAAACUUCUCUGGAACUCAAUUCUUUCAAAGGGGAAUUUCGAGCCUUUUUGAAUAUUAGGAUGAAAGAUAAGGGUAAAGUGGUCUGCAGCAAUGAGAAUGAAUUGGCCAGAUCUGAGAACAAGGUUUUUGAGAAUAGAGGACUGUUCUCAUUCAAAGACUUCUUUAAUUCCCAUCCAAAGGAUCAAGAGCGAAAUGAAGACCAAGAUGCCCCAAGUCAAGUUUCCAAUAAGAAUGGCAAGGGCACUGAGAUGGAACAGGAUUUCAUUACUGAGAUGCAACAGAAUUUCAUUGCUAAUACAUUUAGUGUGAUUAAGGAUUCUAAGGAGGAAAAUGUUGAAGAGGGUGAUGAAGGGCAAGCAGAUAAUGCAAUGGGGAAAACAAGAGGUGGAUAUGAAAUGAAAAUCCUUUGUUCAAUGACACAAAGGAUGAUUUUGUCUCAGUUAAAAAUGGAAGAAGUGUUUGUGCAGAAAAUUGCAAUAUUAGAGAUUCAAGCUGCACAUUCCAAAGAAAUGUUGGAUUGGAAAAUAGCGUUGGAGAUUAAAGUUGCACAACCCACAGUCCAUAAACCUGAAUUUCUUCCAUCAAUGGGGAUGGAUUGAGCUUACUAAUUCAUGAGGACCUUGAUUUUGAGUUCUAUUCUUCUGUUUUCCUAAUUUCCAUGGAGGAUAAAUGGG
rnacentral:misc_RNA from 1 species